rnacentral:rRNA from 1 species
UGGGGAAUAUUGCACAAUGGGCGCAAGCCUGAUGCAGCCAUGCCGCGUGUGUGAAGAAGGCCUUCGGGUUGUAAAGCACUUUCAGCGGGGAGGAAGGCGUUAAGGUUAAUAACCUUGGCGAUUGACGUUACCCGCAGAAGAAGCACCGGCUAACUCCGUGCCAGCAGCCGCGGUAAUACGGAGGGUGCAAGCGUUAAUCGGAAUUACUGGGCGUAAAGCGCACGCAGGCGGUCUGUCAAGUCGGAUGUGAAAUCCCCGGGCUCAACCUGGGAACUGCAUUCGAAACUGGCAGGCUAGAGUCUUGUAGAGUGGGGUAGAAUUCCAGGUGUAGCGGUGAAAUGCGUAGAGAUCUGGAGGAAUACCGGUGGCGAAGGCGGCCCCCUGGACGAAGACUGACGCUCAGGUGCGAAAGCGUGGGGAGCAAACAGG